AGGACGAACGCUGGCGGCGUGCUUCACACAUGCAAGUCGAACGGGGCUCAUUCGGUGGUAACACCGGAGAAGGCCUAGUGGCGAACGGGUGCGUAACACGUGAAGAACCUGCCCCGAAGACUGGGAUAACAGCGGGAAACCGCUGCUAAUACCGGAUGACCCCACCAGGCCGCAUGGCCAGGUGAGGAAAUGGGCCUACCGCUUCGGGAGGGCUUCGCGGCCUAUCAGCUUGUUGGUGGGGUAACGGCCUACCAAGGCUACGACGGGUAGCUGGUCUGAGAGGACGACCAGCCACACUGGGACUGAGACACGGCCCAGGCUCCUACGGGAGGCAGCAGUGGGGAAUCUUGCGCAAUGGGCGAAAGCCUGACGCAGCAACGCCGCGUGAGGGAUGAAGGUCUUCGGGUUGUAAACCUCUUUCGAGCAGGGACGAUUGUGACGGCACCUGCAGAAGAAGCUCCGGCCAACUACGUGCCAGCAGCCGC
rnacentral:rRNA from 1 species